GACGAACGCUGGCGGCGUGCCUAAUACAUGCAAGUUGAGCGAUGAAGCUUGGUGCUUGCACCAAUUUGAAGAGCAGCGAACGGGUGAGUAACGCGUGGGGAAUCUGCCUUUGAGCGGGGGACAACAUUUGGAAACGAAUGCUAAUACCGCAUAACAACUUUAAACAUAAGUUUUAAGUUUGAAAGAUGCAAUUGCAUCACUCAAAGAUGAUUCCGCGUUGUAUUAGCUAGUUGGUGAGGUAAAGGCUCACCAAGGCGAUGAUACAUAGCCGACCUGAGAGGGUGAUCGGCCACAUUGGGACUGAGACACGGCCCAAACUCCUACGGGAGGCAGCAGUAGGGAAUCUUCGGCAAUGGACGAAAGUCUGACCGAGCAACGCCGCGUGAGUGAAGAAGGUUUUCGGAUCGUAAAACUCUGUUGGUAGAGAAGAACGUUGGUGAGAGUGGAAAGCUCAUCAAGUGACGGUAACUACCCAGAAAGGGACGGCUAACUACGUG
rnacentral:rRNA from 1 species